CUCAGCAGUUCCGCGCACGGGGAGGGGCCGGCAACGGGCCGGACGGGCAGCAGCGCCCGAGGAGAGAGCGCGGCCCCGGGCCGCGUGUCACUCACCGUUUGAAAUGCUCGAUGAUCUUCUCUUCCCGCACAUUCUCCGGACUCCCACAGAACAAUAAAAGGAUAAACCAGAACAAAAUAAGAAGCAAUUAAGUCAUCUCUACACCCAAUGUGGGGCUCGAACCUACAACCCUGAGGUCAAGAGUCGCAUGCCCCACCGACUGAGCCAGCCAGGCGCCCCUGAACACUAGCAGUUCGACUCUGAGAGCUGCACAUCUGGAGAAGCUCUGAGCGUAGUCAUUCCGGAUGAUUUCAACUAGGGGCCAGACGGGCACCUUAUCCAUACAGCUAACACUUGGCAGGAGCUGUGCAGCUUAAAAAGACUUUUCCAAGACUUCAGCUCAUUAGAACUUUUUUUUAAGUAUUAAAAGUUUUAUUUAUUUAAGUAAUCUCUACACCCAACAUGGGACUCAAAUUCACGACCCUGAGAUCAAGAGUCACAUGCUCUUCAGACUGGGCCAGCCAGGCGCCCCUCUUUAGAACUUUUUGAUGGAGGCAGUAUUACCCUAACUUUAUUUUUUUUUAAGAUUUUUAAAAAUUUAUUUGACAGAGAGAGAGAGCACAAGCAGGGGAAACAUCAGAGGGAGAGGGGGAAGCAGGCUCCCCACUGGCCCUGGGAUCAGGACCUACACUGAAGGCAGACGCUUACCGACUGAGCCACCCAGGCGCCCCAUACCCUAACUUUAUAAAGGAGGAAAUGGAGACCUAAAUUCAGUUCUGAGCAGGCAGAGCCGAUGCUCAAACCCUGGUCUUCACGGUCCAAAAAUCUAGUGCUUUGUUUUCACUAAGGUAGACUGUCAUUCAUCUGAAAAAAAACCCGACACUCUAAAUAGAGUUCACUCUGUGUUGCAAAGGCUGCAUUUGGCCCUGGAGAAAGGAUCAGGUUCAACGCCUAGGUAUUGAUGCAGAUUUAUCCGAUGCCAGAAAUCCCAAAUAAAUGGCAGGGGCCAGCCAAAUACUUCUCUAGUCCUCCUCUCUCCAAUCUCCCCCUCUGUCCACUUGAGAAGUAAACAAAUUCUUCAAAUUCCCGCUGCCCCAAUUCUGUGAAGUGUUUACCUGUGUGCUAGGGUCGGCCUAUGUGUCUGGCAGGGGCUGCUUCCUGGGUGUCAUGAUUUAGGGGGGCCCCUGGACCUUGCUGCUGGCCUCCUCCCCCAUCACACCCCACUCAAUGGCUAGCUCAGCUGAAAUGUCACUUGCUGGAGCUUCUUUCCUUUGGCUUGAAGUGUGAUCCCUGUUAAAUUCAGAAACACGUUGGGAGUGGUGUCAUUUUUAACACCAUUAGCAAUCACGGAUCUGGGUGAAUGAGUUUCAGAGUCUUUCCUAAGAGUAGUAGGGUUUGUUUGUUUGUUUGUUUGUUUUCAUGGAAAAAUGAGACAAAUCACAUGAGUCAUAAAUAUUAACUACAGAAAAGGAAGCCUACCGGACAGAUCAGGAAAGAGGCCCAGAGCAGACCCACAGCAUGAUAUGGGUGACAAUGCCAACCGGCAAGAAGGGACUGGCGAGGGAUCAUCUGCAGCCCGUUUGGAAAGAAAUGCAACGGAGCUCAUCUCACUACACGCAUACAAAAAUCAAUCCAGAUAUUAAGUAUGAAAGCAAAACCUUAAAACUUUCAGAAAAAUAUGGGAUGAUUGUUAUGAGCUCAGGGUAAAGAGGGUUUCUUUCUUUUUUUUUUUUUUUUUUAAGACUUUAUUUAUUUAUGGAGCGCCUGGGUGGCUCAGUUGGUUAAGCAUCUGUCUUCGGCUCAGGUCAUGAUCCCAAGGUGCUGGGAUCGAGCCCCACAUCAGGCUCCCUGCUCAGCGGGAAGCCUGCUUCUCCCUCUCCCUCUGCCUCUCCCUCUGCCUGUGCUCUCCUGCUCUCUAUCAAAUAAAUAAAUAAAAUCUAAAAAAAAUAUAUUUUAUUUAUUUAUGAGAGAGAGAGAUCACGAGUGAGAGAGCACAUGCAGGGGAAGGGGCAGAGGGAGAAGCAGACUCCCUGCUGAGCAGGACCCCAGGAUCAUGACCUGAGCUGAAGGCAGACGCCUAACCGACUGAACCACCCUGGCACCCCAAAAGGGUUUCUUAAGAUUAAAAAAAAAAACAACAACAAAUAACAAAACACAAACCAUAAAGGAAGGGAUACAUUAGCUCCAUCAAAACUAAUCAAAAGCUAUCUUAAAACAGAGAAUCUCAACUCUGGCUAUACAUGAGAAUAAGCUGAGGAGCUUUUAUUUAUUUUUAUUUUUAUUUUUUAAAAGAUUUUAUUUAUUUAUGAGAGAGAGAGAACAUAAGAAGGGGCAGCUGCAGAGAGAGAGGGAGAAGCAGGCUCCCCACUGAGCAGGGAGCUUGAUGUAGGCACUUAACUGACUGAGCGACCCAGGAACCCCAGCUCAGGAACUUUUUAAAAAUCCUAGUACCCCAUCUCCUCUGGGAUUAGGCCCUGUGUACAGUACCCCUAACAUUUGCAGGGCCUAGAACAAGAGUACCAGUGGGGGUGGGGGCGCCUGGCUGGCUCAUUUGGUAGAACAUAUGACUCUUGAUCUUGGAGUCAUGAAUUUGAGCCCCAUGCUAGGUUUGAGUUUACUUAAAACAAAACAAAACAAAAAGAGCACCAGUAGAGAUUCACAUAACUAGGUCUAAAAUACUUAACAACCACCAAUCAAGCUAACAAACUGUUAAAUAAAAUAUUUUUCUAUGUUCCGAUCUUGACAAAUACACCAUCAUAACAAUUUGGGUACCUGGAUGGGCACCUGGGUGGCUUAGUUGGUUAAGCUCAGUCGGCCUUUGGCUCAGGUUAUGAUCUCGGGGUCCUAGGAUCCACUGAAUGUCAGGCUCUCUCUGUCUCAAAAAAAUUAAUAAAAUCUUAAAACAAACAAAACAGCAAUUUGGGUACCUGGAGCAAGGUGAAGGAAUGAGGCUAUGCUUUGCAGGGGGAGUGGAAGGGGCACAGUCCUCUGUCUGUGUGGACUCAUUACUGAGCAGGGUCUUCUAAAGCAGAACCCAGGGCAGGGGUCCCUCCGACCUUGGUCUUAAAGUGGGACUGCCUGAGCACCUGUGCUUUUUGUUAACUUUUCAUUGAUGUUCAUACAUACAGAUGGACAUUUAUAGAAAAGUAGACAAAUUACAGGUAUACAGCUUGAUGAAUUUUCACAAAUAUAUCAAUUAAAGAUAUAUGUAUUUAUCAUAAAAAACUUUUAUUUUUAUUUUUUUUAAGAUUUUAUUUAUUUAUUUAACAGAGAGAUAGCGAGAGCAGGAACACAAGUAGGGCGAGUGGGAGAGGGAGAAGCAGGCUUCCUGCCAAGCAGGGAGCCCAAUGCAGAACUUGAUCCCAGGACCCCGGGAUCACGACCCGAGCCGAAGGCAGACGCUUAACGACUGAGCCACCCAGGUACCCUAAAGAUUUUUUUUAUUUAUUUGAAGAGAGAGAGAGCACAAGUGGGGUGAGGGUCAGAGGCAGAAGCAGACUCCCUGCUGAGCAGGGAGCCUGAUGUGGGACUCAAUCCCGGGACCUCAGGAUCAUGACCUGAGCUGAAGACAGAUACUUAACGACUGAGCCACCCAGGCACCCCCAUAAAAAACUUUUUAAAAGUAAUCUCUGUACCCAACGUGGGGCUCGAACUUAAAACCCUGAGAUCAAGAGUCUCAUACUCUUGAUCUUUUGCAAAAUGAGAUCAUUCUAGAUAAAUCCUUCUGAACCUUGCUUUUUCACCUAGCGAUGGUCUCUUGAGCAGAUUUUCCCCUCCUAAUGCCAUCCUUCAGAGAGAAAGAACAGUUGGAGUUGGAGAACACCUUCCCCUUCCGCCCCCAUAAAAAAAUUUUUAAUGGAGGGGCACCUGGGUGGCUCAGUCGAUUGAGCGUCUACCUUUCGCUCAGGUCAUGAUCCCAGAGUCCUGGGAUCAAGCCCCAUGUCGGGCUUGCUCUCCUUCUGCCUGCCACUCCCCUUGUGCUCACUCUCUCUGUCAAAUAAAUAAAUAAAAUCUUAUUCAUUUGACAGAGAGAGAGAGUGAGAGAGAGAGAGCACAAGCAGUGGGAACAGGCUUAACCAACUGAGCCACCCAAGCACCCCUAAAUAAAAUCUUCAAAAAAAAUUUUUUUAAGGGAAAUAGUAAUAAAAAGAAAGGACUGUUAAACACAGAAUUUAGGAGAGUGGUUUCCUCUGGUGUGGACCCAGGGUAUGGGACAGAGAGAGACACAUAAUCAGUAAUGUUGUAAUUCCUAAAUUGGGCAGCAAGUCCUCAGUUUAUUAUGCCUUCUAACUUAAAUAUGUCACAUAUAUUCUUUUGUACAUCGUAAAGUCAACUCAAGGUCCUGUCAUCUAGGGGCAUUCAGCUUAAAGACAAAUUAAUCCUGCAUACUUCAAAUCCUUCUAGGAGAAUUACUACAACUGAUUAUCUUGGCUCAUCCGAAAAACAAAACAGAACUUUCUAUGAAGAAAGGAAAAAGGUACAUGUAUAAUAAAUUUUAAAACAAUUCAGUGUAGGGGCGCCUGAGUUGCUCAGUCAGUUAGGCAUCUGACUCUUGAUUUUGGCUCGGGUCAUGAUCUCAGGGUCACGAGAUGGAGACCCACAUCAGGCUCCUCGCUCAGCGGGGAUUCUGCUUGAGAUUCUCUCUCCAUCUCCCUCUGCCCCUCCCCCACCCUGCUCGCUCUCGCUCUCCCUAAAAUAAAUAAAUAAAUCUUUUAGAACACCCAAUUCAAUGGAUGCCUGGGUGGCUCAGUUGGUUAAGUGUCUGCCUUCGGCUUAGGUCAUGAUCCCAGGGUCCUGGGAUCGAGUCCCACAUCAGGCUCCCUGCAUAGUGGGGAGUCUGCUUCUCCCUCUGCCCCUCCCCCCAUUCACGCUCUCUCUCUCUCUCUCUCUCACAAAAAUAAAUAAAAUCUUUAAACAAAUAAAAAUUUAAAAAACAAUUCAAUGUAAAAAGGUUAAUUUUUAUCUUUAAAAAGAACUGAUUACAAAUAAAAUGCAUAAAACAAAAUUUAAGCACUAUAUAAAUCCAAAGCACAUGAAGUGAAAUCUCCCUAAAAUGCUCCAACCUGCAGAGCCACACCCUCAACAGCGUGGUGUGUAUUCCUCAACCUUU